GGGGCUGUAGCUCAGUGGUACAGCACUUGCCUAGCAUGUGAGAGGCCCUGGGUUCAGUCCCCCAGCCCUG
rnacentral:tRNA from 1 species